rnacentral:misc_RNA from 1 species
GUCUUUUGGUUAUUUAUAAAGGUGUAUUUAUAGUAAAUGUUUAAAGGUUGUUUUUAAAAAGGUUGAACGAGGCCCUUCUCUAAUGAAAAAGACGAACCUCGAACAAGGAGCACAAAAGGGUGUAAGUCUAUAGAAGAAAAGAAAAAUCUUUUUUCCUAUGAUGAUCCUUCCGCAGGUUCACCUACGGAAA